CUGAACAAUUGGACAUUGAAAUAAAAGAAAAAAAUUUAAUAUUAGAUGAAUUUAAUAAUAAUGUAAAUGAAAUAAAUGAAUAUAUAAAUGUAUAUGAAGAAAAAAAACUAUAUAAUACAUACAUAUGUAAAUUACAUACAUGUUUAAUAACAGAUCAUGAUAAAUACUUAGAACGGAAAAAAAAUCAGUUUUCUAAUUUUGUGAGAGAAUAUAACAAUUUAAAAGAAGUGUAUGUUAAGUUAGAAAAGGAGAAACAAACAAAUGAUGAAAUUGCUAUAAAAAACAAAAAACAAUUUUUCUUAAAUUUAAACAAAAUGCAUCAUAUAUUUUUCGAAUCUUUCACUAAUAAUUCUAUAGGUUAUGAUAGUAUUUUUUUGAAAUCCCCUUUUUUGCUUAUAAAAAAAAAACAUGAAACCGACUAUGUUAUGAAUAUAUAUGAUGUGAUUAUACAAAAAAAUAGACAAGACACAAGUGAUAAACAAACGGAAACCGUUAUAACAGAAUUGGGACCUGAGAAUAAUAAAAACAGUACAGAAGAUAAAGAAAUAAAAAUGACAUUUUAUUAUACCAUAACAUAUCCAAAUAAAUCAGGAGGUAAUACAGAAACAAAACAAGUAUCAGUGAACAUUCCGACAUCAUGUUUAAGUUUAUUUAACAAGCUUUUUUUAGUAAGUCCUAAUGGCGAAAAAGAUAACAAAGGUGAUAAUACUACUGGCGAUAGAAAGAGUCAAAGUAAUAGUAGUGAUGAUGAAGAGUGUGUUAGCACUACAAAACAGGAACAUCCUACUUAUAUAAAAGCAAAAGGUUUUAACAAUCAAAGUAUGGAAGAAGGAAUAGAAGACAUAGUCGAAUAUGAUACAUAUAUUAGAGAUUUGGUUAAAAGGGAUAUACAAACUGGAACAGAAUCGGAAGAGGAGACCGAAGUGGUGACAGAAGUGGAGAAGGAAACGGAGAAGGGAACGGAUGCGCAUGUACAACCACACGUACCACAUGUACCACAUGAAAAAACAAAAAGGAAAGUGGGGAAUUUGGAAGUAAGUCGAAAUCAUACCAAUAACAGUACAUAUGAUAUUAAUAACGAUAUAUCUACCUAUGCGGAUAUGUUAUGGCAAAAACGAUGUGAGAAAAAAAAUGAGUUAACUCAAAUGAUAAAAAAUAUGGGUUUUUAUGAAACUGAACUUACUGAUAAUUCGAUAAAAACGUAUUUUAACAAACUAAUGGAAGAAUAUAUAACAGAAGAUACAUAUUAUCAAAACCAGUUGAAACAAAUAAACGAAUUGAAGUCAAAUUAUAAUAUGCAUUCAUGUAACAUUGAGUUAAGAAAGGUAAAAUUUGCUAACACUC
rnacentral:lncRNA from 1 species